AUACGUAUGGGGCGAGCGUUGUCCGGAAUGAUUGGGCGUAAAGGGUACGUAGGCGGUUAAUUAAGUCGAGUGUGAAAGGUUGGGGCUCAACCCCAUAAAGCAUUCGAAACUGGUUAACUUGAGAUGUGGAGAGGAAAGUGGAAUUCCUAGUGUAGCGGUGACAUGCGUAGAUAUUAGGAGGAAUACCAGUAGCGAAGGCGACUUUCUGGACACAUCCUGACGCUGAGGUACGAAAGCGUGGGAAGCAAACAGGAUUAGAUCCCCGGGUAUUCCACGCCGUAAACGAUGAAUGCUAGGUGUCGGGGGUCAAACCUCGGUGCCGCCGCUAACGCAUUAAGCAUUCCGCCUGGGGAGUACGCACGCAAGUGUGAAACUCAAAGGAAUUGACGGGG
rnacentral:rRNA from 1 species